AUCUGCAUUUAUUCAGUGUAAAAUUCAAAUAAAAUAAAAUAUUCUGCAAAUGCAGUGACUUUUUUUGGGUUUUGCUUUAAGGGUUAUUUAGGAUUUCAGGUUGGAUGUAAGAAUUGACUUUGGAACAUGCGGCACUGCCUGUUGUACAAUUAGGUGAAAAUAGAUGUUUUAAAGUACAUGCUCUUAAGUACUGAAGUACCAAAGCUCAUUCAGUGAUAAAUAAAACUCAUUGCCAUCGCAACAGAAAGGGUUCAGGAAUAUUGAUGUGCUCUGCACUUUCAUGUUCUUUUUUUUUGCCAUAUUGUUUCUUCAUUAAAAAAUUGAUUUCUUUUGACUUACUGUUUUUUUCAACCUUGCUGGCCAUGGCCUACCUUUAAUAGUUUAACAAAAUGAAAAUAAAGCUUUUGCUUUGUUUUUUCCUCCUGCAGCUUUUCUCUAAAAACUAGAUGUCUGACUAAGGAACCACACAAUUCAAAAGAAUCCCAUGAAAUAUAAAAAAAACAAAACCAAAUUUAGAGAGACUCGAGAAGAAGCACACAGGAAAUCACACCUAAACAAAUGACAAGACAAUAUUAAUAACAAACCUGGGGUUUUUACAGAUUAACAGAUAACUAGUAACAUAAAAACAUAAGAAAUAACAUCGGGACAUAAGAUACAUGGGGCUUGGGAGCAGAGUGCCGUCUCUCUGGAACUCUCUGAGAGGCUCAGGAACAAAGAAACAUCUUUGUCCAGGCUCGGGAGCAGAGAAACUUCCAUAUCUGGGCUCGGGCUUUGGGGAAACAUUCACUGUAGGGCUCCGGAGCAGAGCGACUUCAUUGUCGGGGCUCAGAAUCAGAGAAACAUCUGCUGCAGUGCUCGGGUGAUGCAAAACAUCCUCCAGUGGGGCCUCAACACUGAGCGACACCCCCUGUUCUCCUUGUGUUUGCCUCCAAAAGUCCAGGGUCUCUGCUAAUUUCCAAAGUUCUUUCAGUCAGACGUGGGGCUUCAACCCAUGUCGCUAGAGCGAGUGGCUGACACUAGCAGUCCACCAUAGGGAGGCUUUGUACAUUAAUCACAAACCAGGGGAACUCGAGAACAAUGCACACAAGAAAUCACACAACGUAACAUAUCAAACAUAAAUAAUAACACCAGGACUUAAGAUACACACAAGAAGAUACACAAAAGACUAACACUAACGUGUAUCGGGGAACAACAGGAGACUCGAAAUACAAAUCAGGAAUAAAUCACAACACGAGGACUUACACUGAGACUCGGGGGAACCAGAGUAAACUCAAAAUAUAGCUCUGGAAAAAGUGUACAACAUGACAAUAAA